GUUUCCGUGGUGUAGCGGUUAUCACGUGCGCCUCACACGCGCAAGGUCCCCGGUUCAAUCCCGGGCGGAAACA
rnacentral:tRNA from 1 species